rnacentral:ncRNA from 1 species
GCGGCGUGCCUAAUACAUGCAAGUCGAGCGGACUUGAUGAGGAGCUUGCUCCUCUGAUGGUUAGCGGCGGACGGGUGAGUAACACGUAGGCAACCUGCCCUCAAGACUGGGAUAACUACCGGAAACGGUAGCUAAUACCGGAUAAUUUAUUUUGUCUCAUGGUGAAAUAAUGAAAGGCGGAGCAAUCUGCCACUUGAGGAUGGGCCUGCGGCGCAUUAGCUAGUUGGUGGGGUAAUGGCCCACCAAGGCGACGAUGCGUAGCCGACCUGAGAGGGUGAACGGCCACACUGGGACUGAGACACGGCCCAGACUCCUACGGGAGGCAGCAGUAGGGAAUCUUCCGCAAUGGACGAAAGUCUGACGGAGCAACGCCGC